CCUGCCCGUCUCAGGGGGAUAGUCGUCGGAAACGGCGUCUAAUACCCCGUAUGAAGCUGGACGGCAUCGUCUGGUUUUGAAAGAAUAUCGGAGACGGAUGGGCAUGCGGCGCAUUAGCUAGUUGGCGGGGUAACGGCCCACCAAGGCGACGAUGCGUAGGGGUUCUGAGAGGAAGGUCCCCCACACUGGUACUGAGACACGGACCAGACUCCUACGGGAGGCAGCAGUGAGGAAUAUUGGUCAAUGGGCGAGAGCCUGAACCAGCCAAGUCGCGUGAGGGAGUACUGCCCUAUGGGUUGUAAACCUCUUUUGUCGGGGAGCAAAAGCCGGACGUGUCCGUCUGUGAGAGUACCCGAAGAAAAAGCAUCGGCUAACUCCGUGCCAGCAGCCGCGGUAAUACGGAGGAUGCGAGCGUUAUCCGGAUUUAUUGGGUUUAAAGGGUGCGCAGGCGGAUUUUUAAGUCAGCGGUCAAAUCGUGGGGCUCAACCCCAUCCAGCCGUUGAAACUGGGGAUCUAGAGUGUGCGAGAGGUAUGCGGAAUGCGUGGUGUAGCGGUGAAAUGCAUAGAUAUCACGCAGAACCCCGAUUGCGAAGGCAGCAUACCGGUGCACAACUGACGCUCAGGCACGAAAGCGUGGGUAUCGAACAGGAUUAGAUACCCUGGUAGUCCACGCAGUAAACGAUGAAUGCUACCUGUUUGGCCAGAUUGAAGGCUGAG
rnacentral:rRNA from 1 species